CUGCGUCACUGCGNCUAUCUCAUGCUUCCCCUCAGCCUCCUCUUNUCCCUGCUCGGCNCCUCCGGUUCCCUCCUUUUCCNCGCGUAAUCCCUUCCUCCUUAUCCGUUCAAGUCAAUCCCAGUCGAUGCCCAAGGUACGUCCAAAGGUUACCAUCCGUCAUUGUCAACGCAGAAGUCGAAUUGUAAGUGAGGAACGGUAGGUCAAACGGCGGAAUCUUCGAUGCUUCCGGCUCAAGGCCAAGGACUUGGGCCUUUGCCUUGGCCUGAACCAGUCCUUGGGGACCGUAUGGCCGAUGGUCCGGUCAUUGGGCACUUGGGCCCGGAUGGCGAUCGGUCCAUGGGCCCGGUAUGCCAGUCCAUUGGCCUAAGGGCCGUGAACGAUCCAGGCAACGCCAUGGACGGUAACGCGACUUAGAUCCCGGGAAUCCGCACCGCCGGAUCCAGUAACCGCAAGCCGGGCUAAAUCUGAACUGAUUCAAUGAGUUAAACCGAGCGUCGACGACCGCCGGCGAUCGACGGCGUGACGCGAUGUUGAUUUCUGCCAGUGCUCUGAUUGUCAACGUGACGAGAGUCGUGCAAGCACGGGUAAACGGCGGGAGUAACUAUGACUCUCUUCUGGUAGCGAAAUGCCUCGUCGUCUAACUAGUGACGUGCAUGAAUGGAUUAACGAGAUUCCCACUGUCCCUACGUACGGUCCGGCGAAACCACAGCCGAAGGACGGGCUUGGCGUCGCCUGCGGGGAAAGAAGACCCUGUCGAGCUCGGCACUCAGCGGCCGUUGCGACGAGACGCGGGAGGUGUAGGAUAGGUGGGAGGUGCUCGCACCGACAGUGAAAUACCACCACUCCCGUGUGUCUCAUCGCUAAUACGGCUGGACGGCUCUCUUAAUUGCUUUAUGCGACCACGACGACCAAUGCGGUCCGUAGACAUCGGACGCUCGGGUGCUUGGCUGGGGCGGUACCUAACGAAACCAUAACGUCGGUGUCCAAAGGAACGCUCAGCGGGAACGGAGAUCUCGCGUAGAGCAACCGGGUAAAAGCGUCUUUGAUUCCACAGAUUUCUCAGGUAGGAAUGGGGAACCGCGAAAGCGAGGCCUCUCGAUCYUASUCGUAUUCCCCGUUGUGAUGCCUUGCUCCCACGACUGCGACUAGAGGUGUCAGAAAAGUUACCACAGGGAUAACUGGCUUGUGGCUGCCAAGCGUUCUUAGCGACGUGGCUUUUUGAUCCUUCGAUGUCGUCUCUUCCUAACGCAGCCACGCAGCAGUGGCUAACCGUUGGAUUGUUCGCMSUMCACAAGGGAACGCGAGAUGGGAUUAGACCGUUGUGAAACAGGUUAGUUUUACCCUACAGGCGAGCCUGCGCGGCGCGCAUCUUAGCGCGCCGGGAGCAUCGGCAUGCUACGCUUCACCCAGUACGAGAGGAACAGCGAAGCGGGACCUCCGGUAAUCGUGUUUGUUCGCAUGGACAUGCGCCACGCUGCGUCCAGGGUGAUAACGACUGAAAGCCUCUCAAGUCGCAAUCCCCAGCACGUCCGAGUCGU
rnacentral:rRNA from 1 species